rnacentral:misc_RNA from 1 species
CCGAGUCUUCGUACUCAAAACAACCCUUCUGUGGACCUGAAUAAAACCGUUGCCUCGGCAGGCGGCCCUACCUACGGGCCAGAUAGUCCAGCUGCCUCCAGGGAGGAAACCCUCCCUAAGGCGCUGGCGCCAGCCGCUGGCCCCAAACCAAAACUCUAGUUAAAGCGUGUCACUGUCUGAGUACUAUUUUUUAAUUAACGCA